rnacentral:rRNA from 1 species
CAGGCCUAACACAUGCAAGUCGAGCGGACUUAUCCUUCGGGAUAGGUUAGCGGCGGACGGGUGAGUAACACGUAGGCAACCUGCCUGUAAGAUCGGGAUAACUACCGGAAACGGUAGCUAAGACCGGAUAGCUGGUUUCUCCGCAUGGGGGAAUCAUGAAACACGGGGCAACCUGUGGCUUACGGAUGGGCCUGCGGCGCAUUAGCUAGUUGGUGGGGUAACGGCCCACCAAGGCGACGAUGCGUAGCCGACCUGAGAGGGUGAUCGGCCACACUGGGACUGAGACACGGCCCAGACUCCUACGGGAGGCAGCAGUAGGGAAUCUUCCGCAAUGGGCGCAAGCCUGACGGAGCAACGCCGCGUGAGUGAUGAAGGUUUUCGGAUCGUAAAGCUCUGUUGCCAAGGAAGAACGCCUCGGAGAGUAACUGCUCUGAGGGUGACGGUACUUGAGAAGAAAGCCCCGGCUAACUACGUGCCAGCAGCCGCGGUAAUACGUAGGGGGCAAGCGUUGUCCGGAAUUAUUGGGCGUAAAGCGCGCGCAGGCGGUCUUCUAAGUUUGGUGUUUAAGCCCGGGGCUCAACCCCGGUUCGCACUGAAAACUGGGAGACUUGAGUGCAGGAGAGGAAAGCGGAAUUCCACGUGUAGCGGUGAAAUGCGUAGAGAUGUGGAGGAACACCAGUGGCGAAGGCGGCUUUCUGGACUGUAACUGACGCUGAGGCGCGAAAGCGUGGGGAGCAAACAGGAUUAGAU